CGGUACCUACGGGGGGCAGCAGUGAGGAAUAUUGGUCAAUGGGCGCGAGCCUGAACCAGCCAAGUCGCGUGAGGGAAGACGGUCCUAUGGAUUGUAAACCUCUUUUGUCGGGGAGCAAAAGACGCCACGCGUGGCGUUCCGAGAGUACCCGAAGAAAAAGCAUCGGCUAACUCCGUGCCAGCAGCCGCGGUAAUACGGAGGAUCCGAGUGUUAUCCGGAUUUAUUGGGUUUAAAGGGAGCGUAGAUGGGUUGUUAAGUCAGUUGUGAAAGUUUGCGGCUCAACCGUAAAAUUGCAAUUGAUACUG
rnacentral:rRNA from 1 species